rnacentral:rRNA from 1 species
AUUAGUAAAAGUCGUAACAAGGUUUCCGUAGGUGAACCUGCGGAAGGAUCAUUAUUGAAUGAACUUGACUUGGUUGCUGCUGGUCUUUUCAAAGGCAUGUGCACACCUUGUCAUCUUUAUAUCUCCACCUGUGCACCUUUUGUAGACCUGGAUUCAACAUUCCGAGGCAACUCGGUCGUGAGGAAUUGCUUCACAGCUUUCCUUGUAGGUUUCCAGGCCUAUGUUUUUCAUAUACACCAUAAGAAUGUAACAGAAUGUCAUUAUUAGACUUCAUUGUCUUAUAAACUAUAUACAACUUUCAGCAACGGAUCUCUUGGCUCUCGCAUCGAUGAAGAACGCAGCGAAAUGCGAUAAGUAAUGUGAAUUGCAGAGUUCAGUGAAUCAUCGUAUCUUUGAACGCACCUUGCGCUCCUUGGUAUUCCGAGGAGCAUGCCUGUUUGAGUGUCAUUAAAUUCUCAACCUUUGUCAACUUUUUUGGUUGACCAAUGGCUUGGAUGUGGGGGUUUUGCAGGUUUCUCUUUUGAAAUCAGCUCCCCUGAAAUGUAUUAGCUGGUUGCGUUGUGUAGACCUGUCUAUUGGUGUGAUAAUUAUCUACGCCGUGGACUGUUCGCCAUUUUAGCACUGCUUCUAACUGUCUGUUCAUUCAGACGAUAUAUGACAAUUGACCUCAAAUCAGUAG